rnacentral:rRNA from 1 species
AUUGAACGCUGGCGGCAGGCCUAACACAUGCAAGUCGAACGAGUGGCGGACGGGUGAGUAAUGUCUGGGAAACUGCCUGAUGGAGGGGGAUAACUACUGGAAACGGUAGCUAAUACCGCAUACCAUCAGAUGUGCCCAGAUGGGAUUAGCUUGUUGGUGGGGUAACGGCUAACCAAGGCGACGAUCCCUAGCUGGUCUGAGAGGAUGACCAGCAAAACUGGAACUGAGACACGGUCCAGACUCCUACGGGAGGCAGCAGUGGGGAAUAUUGCGCAAUGGGCGCAAGCCUGAUGCAGCAAUGCCGCGUGAAUGAAGAAGGCCUUCGGGUUGUAAAGUACUUUCGGCAGGGAGGCGUUACCCACAGAAGAAGCACCGGCUAACUCCGUGCCAGCAGCCGCGGUAAUAC